CGGCCCGGACGCCAGUGUCCCGCAGGCCCAAGCCGCUUCUCUCGGCGCCGCGCCUGCCCAUGGCCGCGGCGGGUGACGCAGCCGGAACAUGUCGUCCGCGGUGGAGCCUCCGCCGCUCCCGCCUCCCAAGAGCGCGCCUUCCAAGCCCUCGGCGCCCGGCGGGAGCAGCAGCGGCAACAAAGGCGGCCCCGAGGGCUGCGGACUCGUGCCCCGGCCCCGCGGACACCGAGAUGGAGGAAGUAUUUGAUAAUGGAUCACCUGGAAAGCAAAAAGAAAUCCAAGAACCAGAUCCUAUAUAUGAAGAAAAAAUGCAAACUGACCAAGGAAAUAGAUUUGAGUAUUUAUUAAAGCCGACAGAGCUGUUCGCUCAUUUCAUUCAGCCUGCUGCUCAGAAGACUCCAACCUCACCCUUGAAGAUGAAACCAGGGCGCCCACGGGUAAAAAAGGAUGAAAAACAGAAUUUGCUUUCAGUUGGAGAUUACCGACACCAUAGAACAGAGCAAGAGGAGGAUGAAGAGCUAUUAACAGAAAGUUCCAAAGCAACUAAUGUUUGUACUAAAUUUGAAGAUUCUCCAUCAUAUGUAAAAUGGGGUAAACUGAGAGAUUAUCAGGUGUGAGGAUUGAAUUGGCUCAUCUCUCUGUAUGAGAAUGGCAUCAAUGGGAUCCUUGCAGAUGAAAUGGGUUUGGGAAAGACACUUCAAACAAUUUCUCUUCUUGGAUACAGGAAACACUAUAGAAAUAUUCCUGGUCCUCAUAUGGUUUUGGUUCCCAAGUCUACAUUGCACAACUGGAUGAGUGAAUUCAAGAGAUGGAUACCAACACUUAGGUCUGUUUGCUUGAUAGGAGAUAAAGAGCAAAGAGCUGCAUUUGUCAGGGAUGUUUUAUUACCAGGAGAGUGGGAUGUGUGUGUCACAUCUUAUGAAAUGCUUAUUAAAGAGAAAGUCUGUGUUCAAAAAAUUCAACUGGAGAUACUUAGUUAUAGAUGAAGCUCACAGGAUAAAAAAUGAAAAAAUCUAAGUUGUCAGAAAUAGAGAAUUCAAGACUACAAAUCGGCUGUUGCUAACAGGGACGCCUCUUCAGAACAACCUGCAUGAGCUCUGGUCACUUCUAAACUUUUUGUUACCAGAUGUAUGACUUUGAUUCAGCUGAUGACUUUGAUUCCUGGUUUGAUACAAAUAAUUGCCUUGGGGAUCAAAAGCUAGUUGAGAGGCUUCAUAUGGUUUUGUGUCCAUUCCUCCUUCGUCGAAUUAAAGCUGAUGUUGAAAAGAGUUUGCCUCCAAAAAAAGAAGUAAAAAUCUAUGUGGGUCUUAGCAAAAUGCAGAGAGAAUGGUAUACUCGGAUAUUAAUAAAAGAUAUAGACAUAUUAAACUCAGCAGGGAAGAUGGACAAAAUGAGGCUAUUGAACAUUUUGAUGCAGUUGAGGAAAUGCUGCAAUCAUCCAUAUCUCUUCGAUGGAGCUGAACCUGGUCCACUGUUCACAACAGAUAUGCAUCUAGUUACCAACAGUGGCAAGAUGGUGGUGUUAGACAAGCUACUCCCUAAACUGAAAGAACAAGGUUCAAGAGUACUAAUCUUUAGUCAGAUGACAAGAGUCUUAGACAUUUUGGAAGAUUAUUGCAUGUGGAGAAAUUAUGAGUACUGCAGGUUGGAUGAACAGACACCCCAUGAGAGACAAGACUCCAUCAAUGCAUACAAUGAACCAAAUAGCACAAAGUUUGUAUUUAUGCUAAGCACACGUGCUGGUGGUCUGGGCAUCAAUCUUGCAACUGCUGAUGUAGUAAUUUUAUAUGAUUCAGAUUGGAAUCCUCAAGUUGAUCUUCAGGCUAUGGACUAUGCCCAUAGAAUUGGACAAAGGAAGACUGUCCGAGUGUUUCGCUUUAUAACCGAUAACACUGUGGAAGAAAGAAUAGUGGAACGUGCUGAGAUGAAACUUAGACUGGAUUCGAUAGUAAUUCAACAAGGGAGGCUUGUAGAUCAGAACCUGAACAAAAUUGGGAAAGAUGAAAUGCUUCAAAUGAUUCGACGUGGUGCCACACAUGUGUUUGCUUCAAAAGAAAGUGAAAUCACUGAUGAGGAUAUUGAUGGUAUUUUAGAAAGAGGUGCAAAGAAGACUGCAGAAAUGAAUGAAAAGCUGUCCAAGAUGGGUGAAAGUUCACUUAGAAACUUUAUGAUGGAUACAGAGUCCAGUGUUUAUUACUUUGAAGGAGAAGACUAUAGAGAAAAACAAAAGAUUGCAUUCACAGAGUGGAUUGAACCACCAAAAAGAGAAAGAAAAGCCAACUAUGCUGUUGAUGCAUAUUUCAGGGAAGCUCUCCGUGUUAGCCUAAAGCACCCAAGGCACCUCGACCUCCAAAACAACCAAAUGUUCAGGAUUUCCAGUUCUUUCCUCUAGGUUUAUGUGAAUUACUGGAAAAAGAAAUUCUGUAUUACAGGAAAACUAUUAGGUAUAAGGUACCUUGGAGUCCUGAUCUACCUAAUGCAGCACAGGCAUAGAAAGAACAGCUAAAAAUUGAUGAAGCAGAGCCCCUCAAUGACGAGGAGUUAGAGGAAAAAGAGAAGCUUCUGACACAGGGGUUUACAAAUUGGAAUAAGAGAGAUUUUAACCAGUUUAUCAAGGCUAAUGAGAAGUGGGGUCGUGAUGAUAUUGAAAAUAUAGCCAGAGAAGUAGAAGGAAAAACUCCAGAAGAAGUCAUUGAAUACUCAGCUGUGUUCUGGGAAAGAUGCAAUGAGCUUCAGGACAUAGAGAAGAUAAUGGCUCAGAUUGAAAGGGGAGAGGCAAGAAUUCAAAGAAGAAUAAGUAUCAAGAGAGCACUAGAUACAAAGAUUGGACGGUACAAAGCACCCUUUCAUGAGCUAAGAAUAUCAUAUGGUACUAACAAAGGAAAAAAACUAUACUGAAGAAGAGGAUCGUUUUCUCAUUUCUAUGCUGCACAAGCUUGGCUUCGACAAGGAAAAUGUGUAUGAUGAAUUACGACAAUGCAUCCGAAACUCCCCUCAGUUUAGAUUUGAUUGGUUUCUCAAGUCCAGAACUGCGAUGGAGCUCCAGAGGAGGUGUAAUACCUUAAUUACUUUGAUUGAAAGAGAAAAUAUGGAACUAGAAGAAAAGGAGAAGGCAGAGAAAAAGAAAAGGGGACCAAAACCUUCCACACAGAAAGGUAAGAUGGACGGUGCCCUUGAUGGCCGUGGAAGAAAAAAGAAGCUGAAACUAUGAAUGCAUUUUUGUCUUAUAAUCACUAACUAGUAGUUCUUUAAUUUACAGGUCUUCAUAAGACGUGCUGGACAGUGCUCAACUGUUAUGUCAUUCAGACAUCAGGUCCAUCUGCUUACUGAGAUAGAAACAUAGUAUGUAGUUUCACUUUUUUUAAAUGCAACAGCUGUGCUGAAAUUUUUUUAUCAUUAACAAUUGAAGUAAUAAAACAGGCUUCAUUUAUUUUAAAAAAAAAAAGAAUUUGAAAAGUUUAAUCAUGAGAAAAAGCAAUGUCAUUGUAACAGGGGGCACAGACUGGGAUCAAGGUGACCUGAGCCACCACAGCUUAUCUCAGAAACAUUAUUGUAAAUAUUUCUUUUUGUAAAAAGACUGCAGAUAAAGCUGAUGGGAAUAAUAUACGUUGUUAGAGUGAAAUCACUCCAUACACAAGCAGAAGAUGAAUUAAGAAAAGUUGCUUUAGUGACUGUGUGCAUUCAUGACAGGCUAAUUAUCAGACUAAUCAGUCUAGCAUAAAUCUGAAUUCAACAUAUGCUGUCAGCCUUAA